rnacentral:rRNA from 1 species
GACGAACGCUGGCGGCGUGCUUAACACAUGCAAGUCGAACGAAGAGCGAUGGAAGCUUGCUUCUAUCAAUCUUAGUGGCGAACGGGUGAGUAACGCGUAAUCAACCUGCCCUUCAGAGGGGGACAACAGUUGGAAACGACUGCUAAUACCGCAUACGAUCUAAUCUCGGCAUCGAGGAUAGAUGAAAGGUGGCCUCUACAUGUAAGCUAUCACUGAAGGAGGGGAUUGCGUCUGAUUAGCUAGUUGGAGGGGUAACGGCCCACCAAGGCGAUGAUCAGUAGCCGGUCUGAGAAGAUGAACGGCCACAAUUGGACUGAGACACGGCCCAGACUCCUACGGGAGGCAGCAGUGGGGGAUCUUCCGCAAUGGACGAAAGUCUGACGGAGCAACGCCGCGUGAGUGAUGACGGCCUUCGGGUUGUAAAGCUCUGUUAAUCGGGACGAAAGGCCUUCUUGCGAAUAGUGAGAAGGAUUGACGGUACCGGAAGAGAAAGCCACGGCUAACUACGUG